AUUGAACGCUGGCGGCAGGCCUAACACAUGCAAGUCGAGCGGAGCGGCGGACGGGUGAGUAAUGCCUAGGAAUCUGCCUGGUAGUGGGGGAUAACGUCCGGAAACGGGCGCUAAUACCGCAUACCAUCAGAUGGGCCCAGAGGGGAUUAGCUAGUUGGUGGGGUAAUGGCUCACCUAGGCGAAGAGCCCUAGCUGGUCUGAGAGGAUGACCAGCCACACUGGGACUUAGACACUGCCCAGACUCCUACGGGGGGCAGCAGUGGGGAAUAUUGCACAAUGGGCGAAAGCCUGAUGGAGCCACGCCGCGUGUGUGAAGAAGGUCUUCGGGUUGUAAAGCACUUUCAGCGGGGAGGCGUUACCCGCAGAAGAAGCACCGGCUAACUCCGUGCCAGCAGCCGCGGUAAUAC
rnacentral:rRNA from 1 species